CGUUAAUCGGAAUUACUGGGCGUAAAGCGCGCGUAGGCGGCCAAGUAAGCCGGUUGUGAAAGCCCCGGGCUCAACCUGGGAAUGGCAUCCGGAACUGUUUGGCUAGAGUGCAGGAGAGGAAGGUAGAAUUCCCGGUGUAGCGGUGAAAUGCGUAGAGAUCGGGAGGAAUACCAGUGGCGAAGGCGGCCUUCUGGACUGACACUGACGCUGAGGUGCGAAAGCGUGGGUAGCAAACAGGAUUAGAUACCCUGGUAGUCCACGCUGUAAACGAUGUCGACUAGCCGUUGGGUCCCUUGAGGACUUUGUGGCGCAGUUAACGCGAUAAGUCGACCGCCUGGGGAGUACGGCCGCAAGGUUAAAACUCAAAUGAAUUGACGGGGGCCCGCACAAGCGGUGGAGCAUGUGGUUUAAUUCGAUGCAACGCGAAGAACCUUACCUACCCUUGACAUCCUCGGAAUCCGCCAGAGAUGGUGGAGUGCCUUCGGGAACCGAGAGACAGGUGCUGCAUGGCUGUCGUCAGCUCGUGUUGUGAAAUGUUGGGUUAAGUCCCGUAACGAGCGCAACCCUUGUCCCUAUUUGCCAGCACGUAACGGUGGGAACUCUAGGGAGACUGCCGGUGACAAACCGGAGGAAGGUGGGGACGACGUCAAGUCAUCAUGGCCCUUACGGGUAGGGCUACACACGUGCUACAAUGGCCGGUACAAAGGGCAGCGAAGCCGCGAGGUGGAGCGAAUCCCGAAAAGCCGGUCUCAGUCCGGAUCGGAGUCUGCAACUCGACUCCGUGAAGUCGGAAUCGCUAGUAAUCGUGAAUCAGAAUGUCACGGUGAAUACGUUCCCGGGCCUUGUACACACCGCC
rnacentral:rRNA from 1 species